CCUACGGGGUGCUGCAGUGGGGAAUAUUGGACAAUGGGCGAAAGCCUGAUCCAGCCAUGCCGCGUGUGUGAAGAAGGCCUUCGGGUUGUAAAGCACUUUCAGUGGGGAAGAAAGCCUUGGGGCUAAUACCCUCGAGGAAGGACAUCACCCACAGAAGAAGCACCGGCUAACUCCGUGCCAGCAGCCGCGGUAAUACGGAGGGUGCGAGCGUUAAUCGGAAUUACUGGGCGUAAAGCGCGCGUAGGCGGUCUGAUAAGCCGGUUGUGAAAGCCCCGGGCUCAACCUGGGAACGGCAUCCGGAACUGUCAGGCUAGAGUGCAGGAGAGGAAGGUAGAAUUCCCGGUGUAGCGGUGAAAUGCGUAGAGAUCGGGAGGAAUACCAGUGGCGAAGGCGGCCUUCUGGACUGACACUGACGCUGAGGUGCGAAAGCGUGGGUAGCAAACAGGAUUAGAUACCCCAUAGUC
rnacentral:rRNA from 1 species